rnacentral:lncRNA from 1 species
UUAUAAAAGUUGAUUUAGGGUAAGGUAAACAGGGGAGGGAUCGAUUGAUUGUUGGUGAAUUGCACAGGUUGGAUAAUUUGGCGCCAACAGAUUCCCUCAUUUCACUCACACUCUCCUGCUUUAUGAUAUCAACGGCGUCGAUUGCAGAUCAUAAAUGGAACCUACAAACAACGUAUUCGUUAGGUACUAGAAAUAAGAAUGACUUCACUUGGGUAGAUUUAUGAAGCAAAGCGGCUCCCUGGGUACAAGUUAGUGAUUUAAACUUCUUAUCGUGUAGGGUUGGCAGGUUGAAUAGUUGAACCCUAACACGACCCAUGUAUUUAUUCAUGUCAAAGACUUAUAGACCUCAACCCAACAUGGUCCGUUUAACUCAUUCAUCUAAAGUCUAAACGAGUCAAAUGGGUUGGCAGAUUAAACAUGUAACUUUAAGCAUGACGUGGUACAUGCCAACCUGAAUUCGACUCAUUUAUUUAAACGG